UGUAUUAUGAAAAAUUAACUCUGAAAUCAGAUUAUUUUCUCCAAAAUCUUUGGCAAACAAGGCCUACACCUGCCACCCCCAUCUUCUUGAUCCACCCUUUGUUCUGAAUCCAAGUUUCUAAUUUUACACCAAACCUAAUUUAUUAUCGCUCUGGGAUUCUGGAAAGUGGAAUUUGUGAUGGGAAACGGUUCCUCCAUGCUCACUCAGUACGACAUUGAAGGGGUCCAAGAACACUGCAGCAACACCUUUUCCCAGCAGGAGAUUGUUUCACUGUACCAGAGGUUCUGCCAGCUGGACAGGAGCGGAGGGGGCUUCAUCUCCGCCGAUGAGUUUAUGAAUGUGCCUGAAUUUGCCAUGAAUCCCCUCUCUCAGAGACUCUUGAGAAUGCUGGAUGGGCUAAAUUUCAAGGAGUUUGUGUUAUUUCUAUCUGCUUUUAGCUCUCGAGCGAGCUUGCAGCUGAAAGUUGAAUUUAUUUUUAAGGUUUAUGAUUCUGAUGGUAACCAUAAGGUUAGUUUCAAUGAUGUUCUGGACAUAUUGCGUGAUUUGACGGGUCAAUUUAUAGCUGAACAUCAAAGAGAGAAGCUAUGGAAAAUGCAAAUUCCUGUGUUCACAAAAUGACAAAAAGUAGAAAAACUGUAGUAAAUAAAUUAAUUGAAGCAAUCAAAUGAACAUUAAUCUUCUAAAUCAGAACCACCAUGAUUCCUUUCCUUGCUUUCUCAUAGUUUUCUGGAUCCUGCUGCUAAUUAAUUGCUGAGUUGCGCUAAUCUGAAGCUCGUAUUGUUAUAUAUAGCGUGUUCUUACCAAAGUUCUUGAGGAAGCAGGCUACAGAAAAGAUUCUGUAUUAGUUCCAGCUGACUUCAUGAAGAUCCUGGGCAGUUCUGUUCUGAAGAUGGAAGUUGAAGUUCCAGUAGAUUAGAGAUGAGAAACGAUAUGUUUAGACAUAUUUGUCCGUUAAACUCAUGUUCGAGACGUUUUCGAUCCUUCAUGUUUUAAGCCACUUAGCUGGUUUUUUUUCUGUCUACUUCACGUGCUACAUCUCUGGGAUGCUUGAUUGUACUUGUAAGCAAAUACUAUUUCUAUAAAUUAUCAAGGUGUCAUUGAUUUGAGAA